rnacentral:rRNA from 1 species
GAUGAACGCUGGCGGCGUGCCUAAUACAUGCAAGUCGAGCGAAGCGGGGACGGGUGAGUAACACGUGGAUAACCUCGUCUAAGACUGGGAUAACUUCGGGAAACCGGAGCUAAACCCGACACUUAUAGAUGCAUCCGCGCUGCAUUAGCUAGUUGAUAAGGUAACGGCUAACAAAGGCAACGAUGGAUAGCCGACCUGAAAGGGUGAUCGGCCAAACGGGAACUGGGAAACGGUCCAGACACCAACGGGAGGCAGCAGGGGGGAACCUUCCGCAAUGGGCGAAAGCCUGACGGGGCAAGGCGGGGUAAGUGAGGAAGGUCUUCGGAUCGUAAGACUCUGUAAUUAGGGAAGCGGUACCUAAUCAGAAAGCCACGGCUAACUACGUGCCAGCAGCCGCGGUAAUUC